CUGGCGGCGUGCCUAAUACAUGCAAGUCGAACGGUCUUUCUAUGGAAGCUUGCUUCCACUGAGAAGAUAGUGGCGAACGGGUGAGUAACACGUGGGUAACCUGCCCAUAAGAGGGGGGAUAACAUCCGGAAACGGGUGCUAAUACCGCAUAGUUUUCUUGGUCGCAUGAUCGGGAAAGGAAAGACGGCCUUUGUGCUGUCGCUUAUGGAUGGACCCGCGGCGUAUUAGUUAGUUGGUGAGGUAACGGCUCACCAAGACGAUGAUACGUAGCCGACCUGAGAGGGUGAUCGGCCACAUUGGGACUGAGACACGGCCCAAACUCCUACGGGAGGCAGCAGUAGGGAAUCUUCCGCAAUGGACGAAAGUCUGACGGAGCAACGCCGCGUGAGUGAAGAAAAGGUUUUCGGAUCGUAAAACUCUGUUGUCAGAGAAGAACAAGUUGGAGAGUAACUGCUCCAGCCUUGACGGUAUCUGACCAGAAAGCCACGGCUAACUACGUGCCAGCCGCUGC
rnacentral:rRNA from 1 species